UGCAUAUGGGGAAAUAUUGUGUGAUCUUGGUGGGGUCCCCCUUUUAUGCAUAAUAUGUUAUCAGUCACAUGCUAAUCAAUAAAAGGGGGACCCCACCAAGAUCACAUAAUAUUCCAUGCAU
rnacentral:pre_miRNA from 11 species